rnacentral:rRNA from 1 species
GACGAACGCUGGCGGCGUGCUUAACACAUGCAAGUCGAACGGAAAGGCCCUGCUUUUGUGGGGUGCUCGAGUGGCGAACGGGUGUGUAACACGUGAGUAACCCGCCCUUGACUUUGGGAUAACUUCAGGAAACUGGGGCUAAUACCGGAUAGGAGCUCCUGCUGCAUGGUGGGGGUUGGAAAGUUUCGGCGGAUGGGGAUGGACUUGCGGGUUACUAGCUUGUUGGUGGGGUAGUGGCUUACCAAGGCUUUGACGGGUAGCCGGCCUGAGAGGGUGAACGGCCACAUUGGGACUGAGAUACGGACCAGACUCCUACGGGAGACAGCAGGGGAGAAUAUUGCACAGUGGGCGGAAGCCUGAUGCAGCAACGCCGCGUGCGGGAUGACGGCCUUCGGGUUGUAAACCGCUUUCGCCUGUGACGAAGCGUGAGUGACGGUAAUGGGUAAAGAAGCACCGGCUAACUACGUG